UUCCUGCAGACCCGGAAACAGAUCGCGCGGAGUGAACCUGGUAUGGCGGCGCGUGGAUUUCCCUCUGUCUAUUAUUAAGAUUAAACUUGGGCUUCGCAGUCCUCUCACCUCCAUACCCCGGAUUUGGAGGAGAUGGACAAACCAUGUGGGUGCCCUCCAGGUGUGUGCGACCAUGAAAUGGGAGACUAGCAGGACCCACGUUGGCCAACCGUGGACCUGGUCCCUCCAGUAGGAGUCGUGAGCCAGCUGAAUUUGAAUGCAAAGAUGGAGCAAGGGCCGACUGGAGUCACACUGACAUCCACCCCCAUAACAUGGGGACAGAUCAAGAAAACAAAGCAGGAAGCUGAGAAAAUGCUGGAGCAUCCAUGUGCUUGGCCAUGUUAGCAGUAGUGUCCUGUGAGGAUUGAUUUCCAAAAACUCCUGUUACAUGAGGAAGACACCAAGAAGAGCAAAGAAAAGGAGCCAGGGUGGCUCUUCCUCAGCUAUCUCUUCCAAAUGCAUGACAAGGAAGUUCUCAUCAAGAAGGCAAGGCAAUACAGAAGUGUUCCACACAGGGACAUUGCAAAGACAAGCAAGUCAUCACACUGGAGAUUUUUCCUUCCAGGAAAUUGAGAAAGAUUUUCAGGACUUUGAGUUUCAGUGGCAAGAAGAUGAAAGAAAUGGCCAUGAAGCACUCAUGACAGAGAUAAAAAAGUUGACAGGUAAUACAGACUGAUAUGAUCAAAGGCAUGCUGGAAACAAACCUAUUAAAGAUCAGCUUGGAUCAAGCUUUCAUUCACAUCUGCCUGAACUGCAUAUAUUGCAGAGCAAAGGGAAAAUUGAUAGUCAAGAUGAGAAGUCUGUCAAUGAUGCUUCCUCAGUUUCAGCAUCCCAAAGAAUU
ensembl:lncRNA ZNF702P zinc finger protein 702, pseudogene